GACGAACGCUGGCGGCGUGCCUAAUACAUGCAAGUAGGACGCACAGUUUAUACCGUAGCUUGCUACACCAUAGACUGUGAGUUGCGAACGGGUGAGUAACGCGUAGGUAACCUACCUAUUAGAGGGGGAUAACUAUUGGAAACGAUAGCUAAUACCGCAUAACAGUAUGUAACACAUGUUAGAUGCUUGAAAGAUGCAAUUGCAUCGCUAGUAGAUGGACCUGCGUUGUAUUAGCUAGUAGGUAGGGUAAAGGCCUACCUAGGCAACGAUACAUAGCCGACCUGAGAGGGUGAUCGGCCACACUGGGACUGAGACACGGCCCAGACUCCUACGGGAGGCAGCAGUAGGGAAUCUUCGGCAAUGGGGGGAACCCUGACCGAGCAACGCCGCGUGAGUGAAGAAGGUUUUCGGAUCGUAAAGCUCUGUUGUUAAGGAAGAACGAGUGUGAGAAUGGAAAGUUCAUGCUGUGACG
rnacentral:rRNA from 1 species